GCGGGCGGCGCUCGGCGGGACGUGAGCCGGCAGGGCGGGAGGGGCCGCCGCUCUGCGUGGCGCUGCCGGGCCGCCCCGUAGCCCUGCGCUGCUCUGCGAGGACGGCCGGGUGUCACAGUGCGGGACGCGGCCUCAGCGGCGCUCUGCGGCUGGGCUCGGUGCUGUGGCCGCUCUGUGCAGCCUUACUGGCGCUCCGUGAUCCCGGCCUCGCGGCUCCCACCCGCACGCGCAGCCCGAGUCUUCCCCAGGCCGAGCAGCUCCAGGUCAUGCAGCCUUCCCCCACAGGGAGAUGCUCCAGGCCUUCUCAGCUCUGUUAUCAGGUUGCCAUGGGAGAUAACACCAAAAGCCUUGCUGACAUUGAGGCAGACGACAUCCACUGCUCCCCCCGCACCUACCCGGCUGGUGAUGCCAUCAUAGAAGGCUACGAGGCACAGAGGUGAGGCUGACUGCCUGCGGUUUCCUGGAUCCUCCUUCCUACCCUUUCUGCAGAUCUGCAUACUGCUCCCACCCAGCAGCUCCAGGACCCCCCCCUCACCCAGAGGGCAGCUCUCCAUUCCUGGACUCUCCCUGUUCCCCCCGGGGUCCCAAGAGGGCGGUCUUGGAAGUGAGAACUGUACCAAAGAAGGCACUCAGCAUCUCCACCUCCUCAGCACACCUCCCCUUGUUCCACAGGGUACCUUCUUACUUCCUCAUCAACACAGCAAUUGGGGUUUUGUGAGUGGAACAAAUGUGCAACAGCCCCGAGCUGCGAGGAGGAGUCAGGAGAGAGAUUCCGUGCAGUGCUGCAGCAUGGUGCAUCCGCAGGGCACUGCCCACAGCACCGUGCACUGCCUGCAGCACCGUGCACUGCCUGCAGCACUGAGCACUACCCGCAGCACCAUGCAUUCCCUGCAGCACCGUUCUCUACCUGCAGCACUGCGCAUGGCUCUCCCUGCAGUGCCCGCAGCGCCAUGAACUGUGUCCUGCUCUGCGUGCACUGUGUGCCACCUAUGCCGUGCACCGCCUGCAGUGCUAUGCAUGGCCCGCACGCCGUGCUGCCUGCAGCUGCUUGCACCGCCCAGGGGAGAUUGCAGAGGGCAGAGCGCUGCUCAUUGUGCUCCUGUCCCCACUGCCGGCAUGCAGCCGCGCUGGAGCGGAGCUGCUCUGGAAGAACCAAAGGACAGUUCCCCCCCACCCCCGCCCUGUGCUCGGAGCUCAUCUCCCCGCUGCCGAUCAGCACAUUCAGUGCUUAAAAGGAAACGAGUCCGCUGUGCUGAUGGGAGAGCCCGGGAGGCGCCGUGCGACCCUGCUUGGCAGCUCCGGGAAGGGCACCGUGUCAGAGCUCCCCGUGCACAAUGCACAGCGCAGCGUGUACAAUGCACGAUGCAGGACGCAGGGAGAGCGGAGUGCCAUCUCUGUUGGGGACGGCCCCGUUUCCGUGGCAACCGAGAGGCUCCGGCGGCGGCCGCGUGGCCCCGGCAGAGGGCACUGCGCGUUGUGCAGUGGAGGAGCCAGCCCCGUGCCGGGCAGCACUCCAUGUUCCCGGCCUGCUGCGGCGCUCAGAGCACUGGCACAGCGCUCUGCUGGAGUUACUCAUCGCUCCCAUCAGCAGCCCUCACCCAGCGCCCAUCUGCGGCUGCAGGACAGCGCCGUUCAUCAGCGGCGUGAGUCGGAGCUGGAGUGUGUGCAGCGGGGCCUCAGCUGUGUGCCCGUUGCCGUGCAUCCCUCGCCGUGCUGCGUGUGCUGCAGGAUGGGGCUGCACACGAGCGUGCAAAGUGCUGGGUGCGUGGAAAUGGCUGGAAAAGUGCUCCCUACUCCUGCUUCAAUCAGAGGAACGGAGCAGCUGUUGGAGUGAAUGGGCCCUGCACUAAAGCAGACGUCUUAAUAUCUUUUGCAGAGGAGGUGCAUUGUGAUUCACUCUGUGCAUCUCUAUUACUCAGCGUUUGAUAGGGGCUUACUUGUCUCAAGUGCUUUUCAUUAUUGCCCUAAUGCUAUCUAUUAACAUAUGGGAUGGAGGCUCUUUUCUCAUCUGGAGCGUGCAUCACUCCGCUUUUAAGGAUGAUGGGGCUUGCAAGUACAUAACACUUUGCUGCCUCCCUGACGGAGCUCACCAGGAGGAGGGAGGGGGUGCGUGGGGUUGGACGGCCGCAGGGCUGCGAGGACACAGUGGUGUGAGCAGAGCCACAGCCAUGCACUGCUCCACUGCCACAGCCCUGCACGGCAGCUGGGUCAGUUAGCUGCUUUAACUGCCCAGGGGGUGUUUGCAGGUGCAGGCUCUCUGGGCAGACUUUGCGGGGGAAGAUUACAGGUGUGGUUUUCUGGGUGGGUGCUGUGUGAUGGGCAGAGCUGUGCUGGGGCGGUCCCACGCGCUGCUCUUACUCUGCACAUGGCUGCAACUCAGAGCUGAACCUUCUGCUGGACAGGAGCAGAAGGAGCUGCAGCCUGGUGAGAGAGCACAUCUCUUCCCUCGGCUCAGGAUGAGUUCUGCCUUGCAUUUUGGUGAGCUAUGGCAAGAAACACAAUAGCACAGGAGCAAAAAUCACUGCACCUCAGGCUCAGAGCGGUUGGAAGGGACCUGUGGGGCUCCCCCAGCCCGGCCCCAUCCUGCAGGACCCGCAUGUCCCAGCAGCCAGGUUGGGAUGGGGGGAUUCAGAGCACCUGGAAACCCCAGCGUGGCACAGUCGUGCAGCAGCCGCCUCCGAGCAGCUUGAUGGAUGGCGGGCCGGUCCCACCCGCAGCCAGAUGACAGCUCCUCGCAUCAGCCGCUGUGAUAAAUAGCAAUUACAGACAGGAGCACUGCCACUCACAUUUGCCUAAGUGAGGAGCAGAAUCAUACAUCUCCGCUGAUUACAUAUCAAUGAUGCGCUGGAGGCCUUCGCAACUUUUAGAUCCGCUUAAGAUAUGCCGCCCUGAUUUAGACGGCGAUUUGCAUACAAUUUACCCAUAAAGCCUUACUUUGAAAAGCAUAA